GGUACAAUGGAGGAGACUCUGAUCCAGCCAUGCCGCGUGCAGGAAGAAUGCCCUAUGGGUAGUAAACUGCUUUUAUACGGGAAGAAAAAGGGCUACGUGUAGCCUGUUGACGGUACCGUAAGAAUAAGGACCGGCUAACUCCGUGCCAGCAGCCGCGGUAAUACGGAGGGUCCGAGCGUUAUCCGGAAUUAUUGGGUUUAAAGGGUCCGUAGGCGGGCCGGUAAGUCAGUGGUGAAAGUCUGUAGCUCAACUAUAGAAUUGCCUUUGAUACUGCUGGUCUUGAGUUAUGGUGAAGUUGCCGGAAUAUGUAGUGUAGCGGUGAAAUGCAUAGAUAUUACAUAGAACACCGAUUGCGAAGGCAGGUGACUAACCAUAUACUGACGCUGAUGGACGAAAGCG
rnacentral:rRNA from 1 species